rnacentral:rRNA from 1 species
CCUACGGGAGGCAGCAGUGGGGAAUAUUGCACAAUGGGGGAAACCCUGAUGCAGCGACGCCGCGUGAGUGAAGAAGUAAUUCGUUACGUAAAGCUCUAUCAGCAGGGAAGAAACACUGACCUUACGGUCAGCAGACGGUACCUGAGUCAGAAGCACCGGCUAACUACGUGCCAGCAGCCGCGGUAAUACGUAGGGGGCAAGCGUUAUCCGGAUUUACUGGGUGGAAAGGGAGCGUAGACGGUGCGCCAAGUCUGGAGUGAAAUGCCGCAGCUUAACUGCGGAACUGCUUUGGAAACUGGCGAACUAGAGUGCGGGAGGGGUAAGCGGAAUUCUUAGUGUAGCGGUGAAAUGCGUAGAUAUUAGGAGGAACACCGGUGGCGAAGGCGGCUUACUGGACCGUAACUGACGUUGAGGCUCGAAAGCGUGGGGAGCAAACAGGAUUAGAUACCCCUGUAGUC